rnacentral:rRNA from 1 species
CGGCACGGGUGAGUAACACGUAUCCAACCUGCCGUCUACUCUUGGCCAGCCUUCUGAAAGGAAGAUUAAUCCAGGAUGGCAUCAUGAGUUCACAUGUCCGCAUGAUUAAAGGUAUUUUCCGGUAGACGAUGGGGAUGCGUUCCAUUAGAUAGUAGGCGGGGUAACGGCCCACCAAGACUACGAUGGAUAGGGGUUCUGAGAGGAAGGUCCCCCACAUUGGAACUGAGACACGGUCCAA